GGUGAACGCUGGCGGCAGGCCUAACACAUGCAAGUCGAGCGGCAGCGGGUCCUUCGGGCUGCCGGCGAGCGGCGGACGGGUGAGGAAUGCGUCGGAAUCUGCCUUUUUGUGGGGGAUAACGUAGGGAAACUUACGCUAAUACCGCAUACGACCUACGGGUGAAAGUGGGGGACCGCAAGGCCUCACGCAGAAAGAUGAGCCGACGUCGGAUUAGCUAGUUGGCGGGGUAAAGGCCCACCAAGGCGACGAUCCGUAGCUGGUCUGAGAGGAUGAUCAGCCACACUGGAACUGAGACACGGUCCAGACUCCUACGGGAGGCAGCAGUGGGGAAUAUUGGACAAUGGGCGCAAGCCUGAUCCAGCCAUGCCGCGUGUGUGAAGAAGGCCUUCGGGUUGUAAAGCACUUUUGUCCGGAAAGAAAUCCUGUCGGCUAAUACCCGGCGGGGAUGACGGUACCGGAAGAAUAAGCACCGGCUAACUUCGUG
rnacentral:rRNA from 1 species